AUUGAACGCUGGCGGCAUGCUUUACACAUGCAAGUCGAACGGCAGCGCGGGCUUCGGCCUGGCGGCGAGUGGCGAACGGGUGAGUAAUGCAUCGGAACGUGCCCAGCAGUGGGGGAUAGCCCGGCGAAAGCCGGAUUAAUACCGCAUACGACCUGAGGGUGAAAGCGGGGGACCGAAAGGCCUCGCGCUAUUGGAGCGGCCGAUGUCGGAUUAGCUAGUUGGUUGGGUAAAGGCUUACCAAGGCGACGAUCCGUAGCUGGUCUGAGAGGAGGACCAGCCACACUGGGACUGAGACGCGGACCUGACUCCUAAGGGAGGCAGCAGUGGGGAAUGUUGGACAAAGGGGGCAACCCUGAUCCAGCCAUGCCGCGUGCGGGAAGAAGACCUUCGGGUUGUAAACCGCUUUUGUUCGGGAAGAAAUGCUCUGGGCUAAUACCCCGGGGGGAUGACGGUACCGGAAGAAUAAGCACCGGCUAACUACGUG
rnacentral:rRNA from 1 species